rnacentral:rRNA from 1 species
AUUUUCCCUGCCCAUAACUUGCGGAUAACCUUGCGAAAGUAAGACUAAUACCCAAUGAUAUCUCUAGAAGACAUCUGAAGGAGAUUAAAGAUUUAUCGGUGAUGGAUGGGGAUGCGUCUGAUUAGCUUGUUGGCGGGGUAACGGCCCACCAAGGCGACGAUCAGUAGGGGUUCUGAGAGGAAGGUCCCCCACAUUGGAACUGAGACACGGUCCAAACUCCUACGGGAGGCAGCAGUGAGGAAUAUUGGUCAAUGGGCGAGAGCCUGAACCAGCCAAGUAGCGUGCAGGAUGACGGCCCUAUGGGUUGUAAACUGCUUUUAUAAGGGAAUAAAGUGAGUCUCGUGAGACUUUUUGCAUGUACCUUAUGAAUAAGGACCGGCUAAUUCCGUGCCAGCAGCCGCGGUAAUACGGAAGGUCCGGGCGUUAUCCGGAUUUAUUGGGUUUAAAGGGAGCGUAGGCCGGAGAUUAAGCGUGUUGUGAAAUGUAGAUGCUCAACAUCUGCACUGCAGCGCGAACUGGUUUCCUUGAGUACGCACAAAGUGGGCGGAAUUCGUGGUGUAGCGGUGAAAUGCUUAGAUAUCACGAAGAACUCCGAUUGCGAAGGCAGCUCACUGGAGCGCAACUGACGCUGAAGCUCGAAAGUGCGGGUAUCGAACAGGAUUAGAUACCCUGGUAG